GUAUAUGUGUAUGUGUGCCUAUCUCCUCUGUGUUCUGUUGUGCUCUGCUUUCAGAGUUCCUUCUUUAGGAUUGUAGUGACGCUUUGCACAGAAGAUUUGAGAGUUGUAACUUUCAGUAGGAAAAGAAAUGCUGAGCUUUGUCAGAUGUUUGAACCAGUGUUUGAGGUCAGCCAGAUUAGAGGAAAAUGCUCGUUGAGAGUUCUGCCCUGUUAAUGAAUUGUAGCACUUUUGCACUCGUUAGAUAUCAGCCCAAUAUAGGCUGGCACUCCUGUGGCUAUCUAGGGAGCAUAUGGCUAAUGUGAUCCAGCACCACAUGACAACCAAGAUCAGGACACUGGAACUCUCAGAUCACCAGGGCUGAGUUCUCCCUUGCUUUGAAGGCGAGAUCACGGGCUGCACGUAGAGAUGAGUGAAGAUGUUUGCUGCUAAUCCUGUUGGCUGGGAUGUGUUGGCAUCACCCCAGCUAUUUCGUGGUCAUGAAGUACUGUCCUGCACCAGAUCCUGAUGCACUUACUGACUGUGAACAUGACUGCAGACGCAGGACAGCCAAGUGCUAGCCCAUACAGCUGAGGUUGUCAUGAUCUGGCCCCAUCGUCUCUUUCAGAGAGUGGCAAUCUCUCCUCUGAUCCAUGUGGACAUUUUGUGAAGUCCUUAAUUUCAAGCCUUGCAACUUGCACAUGUGUGCCUGUCGGCCACCAGGGACUAGUAGGAUUCCAGUGAGAACUGGCACUUUUGAUUUUCCUUGCCUUGCAUUGGGAGAUAUAUGAGAGUUUGUUUAUGUGAGAUUUGGGAGAACAAAGGCAAAUUAAAUCCCACCCUUCCAAUAAGAUAUAUAUUUUUUCAACCUUGAAGUAAA